UAGCGGCGAGUGAAGCGGCAAAAGCUCAAAUUUGAAAUCUGGCUCUUUCAGAGUCCGAGUUGUAAUUUGAAGAAGGUAUCUUUGGGUCUGGCUCUUGUCUAUGUUUCUUGGAACAGAACGUCACAGAGGGUGAGAAUCCCGUGCGAUGAGAUGAUCCAGGCCUAUGUAAAGUUCCUUCGAAGAGUCGAGUUGUUUGGGAAUGCAGCUCUAAGUGGGUGGUAAAUUCCAUCUAAAGCUAAAUAUUGGCGAGAGACCGAUAGCGAACAAGUACAGUGAUGGAAAGAUGAAAAGAACUUUGAAAAGAGAGUGAAAAAGUACGUGAAAUUGUUGAAAGGGAAGGGCUUGAGAUCAGACUUGGUAUUUUGUAUGUUACUUCUUCGGGGGUGGCCUCUACAGUUUAUCGGGCCAGCAUCAGUUUGGGCGGUAGGAGAAUUGCGUUGGAAUGUGGCACGGCUUCGGUUGUGUGUUAUAGCCUUCGUCGAUACUGCCAGCCUAGACUGAGGACUGCGGUUUAUACCUAGGAUGUUGGCAUAAUGAUCUUAAGUCGCCCGUCUUGAAACACGGACCAAGGAGUCUAACGUCUAUGCGAGUGUUUGGGUGUAAAACCCGUACGCGUAAUGAAAGUGAACGUAGGUGGGGGCCCGUAUGGGUGCACCAUCGACCGAUCCUGAUGUCUUCGGAUGGAUUUGAGUAAGAGCAUAGCUGUUGGGACCCGAAAGAUGGUGAACUAUGCCUGAAUAGGGUGAAGCCAGAGGAAACUCUGGUGGAGGCUCGUAGCGGUUCUGACGUGCAAAUCGAUCGUCGAAUUUGGGUAUAGGGGC
rnacentral:rRNA from 1 species